rnacentral:rRNA from 30 species
GGAUGCGAUCAUACCAGCACUAACGCACCGGA